rnacentral:rRNA from 1 species
CGUAGGUGGCGAGCGUUGUCCGGAAUUAUUGGGCGUAAAGGGCGCGUAGGCGGUCAUUUAAGUCAGGUGUGAAAGCCCCCGGCUCAACUGGGGAGGGUCACUUGAUACUGAAUGGCUAGAGUGCGGGAGAGGGGAAGUGGAAUUCCAUGUGUAGCGGUGAAAUGCGUAGAUAUAUGGAGGAACACCAGUGGCGAAGGCGGCUUCCUGGACCGUAACUGACGCUGAGGCGCGAAAGCUGGGGGAGUGAACGGGAUUAGAUACCCCGGUAAUCCCAGCCGUAAACGAUGGAUGCUAGGUGUAGAGGGUAUCGACCCCUUCUGUGCCGCAGUUAACACAAUAAGCAUCCCGCCUGGGGAGUACGGCCGCAAGGUUG